GACGAACGCUGGCGGCGUGCUUAACACAUGCAAGUCGAACGGAAAGGCCUGCUUUCCCUUGUGGAUUGCGGGUACUCGAGUGGCGAACGGGUGAGUAACACGUGAGUGAUCUGCCCCCAACUUGGGUAUAAGCCUGGGAAACUGGGUCUAAUUCCCGAUAGGACUGCAGGGUGGUGCCUGUGGUGGAAAACGAUUUUCUAGUGGUUGGGGAUGAGCUCGCGGCCUAUCAGCUUGUUGGUGGGGUAAUGGCCUACCAAGGCGGCGACGGGUAGCCGGCCUGAGAGGGUGGACGGCCAGAUUGGGACUGAGAUGCGGCCCAGACUCCUACGGGAGGCAGCAGUGGGGAAUAUUGCACAAUGGGCGGAAGCCUGAUGCAGCGACGCCGCGUGGGGGAUGACGGCCUUCGGGUUGUAAACUCCUUUCGACCGCGAGGAAGCCACCUGGUUGGAAGGGUGGUGACGGUAGUGGUAGAAGAAGCACCGGCUAACUACGUG
rnacentral:rRNA from 1 species